AGUGAAGAGAUAAUGUGAAGAAUUUUUGAAAAUUGAUGAAAGAUACUAACCCAGAUUUUCAAGAAGCUCAGCAUGCCUGAAACAGGAUAAAUAGAUAGAAAACCACACUAAAUCUGAUGAGUCACAAUAAAUCUGCUGAAAAUAAAGACAAAACCAAAAAAAAAAUUACCAGAGGGGAAAAAACACAUUACUUUCAAUUGCAACAAGACUAAUGACUUUUUAACAGAAAUUGUGGAAGUCAAAAGACAAGAGAAUGUCAAAGUGCAAAAGAAAAUAACUGUUAAUUUCAAAUUCUUCAUCCAGUAAAAUGUUCUUUAAAAAUAUCUCAAAUAAAGUUAUUUUCAGAUCAUUAAAAUUUGAGGUAACUUUUAUUGGAAGAUGUGCACUAAAGGAAAUAUUACAAAGAGUUAUUCCUGCAUAAGAAAAAUAAUUUAAUAUAAAAGUAUGGAAAUGAGAAAUAAAGCAACAGAAAGCAACAGAAAGGUUAAAUAUGUGGCAAAUAUGCAUGAAUAUUAACUUUACAAAAUCACUAAAUAUAUUGUAGAAUUAAUUAAUGACAGAAAUAGCACAAAAGGCAGUAAUUUGUAAGUAGGAAAAGGAGUCUAAGGACCUUUCAUUCUUUGGGAAGUAAUAAAAAUACUAAUAUAUAGUAGACUUAAAAAAUUCAAGGUAGCAUGUUGUAGUCUCUGUGAUAACCACAAAAUAAAUGGUAAAAGAAUGUUUAUUUAAGAUGCUAAUGUGGGAGAUGAGAAAAUAUUAAUUAAUUCCACAGAAGGCCAGAAAAGAGUGAGAAUUGAAUAUGGUACAGAUGAAGCACAUACAAAAUCAAUAAUAAAGUAGUAGAGAAUUAAACCCAAACAUAUUAGUUAUGUAUAUAUUAAUGAAUAAAUAUAAAGAAAUAAAGUAAUUAAAUAACUCAAUUAAAGCAUACAAACUGAGUUUUUAAAAAGACUACUACAUGGUCAUUACAUAAAGAAAGGUUGAAGGCAAGAGGUUUGUAAAACAUAUACCAUUAAAACAUAAAUUUAAAAAGGUGGUACAACUAUACUGAUAACAGGUAAAAUCAAUAGUAAGACAAAUCUCAUUACUAGAAAUGAAGACUAUUUAAUAACAAUAAGUUUCAAUACACUUAAAAUCUAAAUAUGCAUCUACCUAGUAACAUGCAUAUGUUUUACAUAUAUGAUAUAAUAGACACACAUUCAAGAAUAGGAAAAUCCCUAAUGAUAGUGGGGGAUUUUAAUAUACACUUCUCUGUAACUAACAGAUCAAGUAGAAAAAAAUUAAUAACAUUAUAAAAUAUUUGUACAAUAUGAUAAAUAAAGUUGAACUUAUUGAUGACAAAUAUUUAAAAUACUGCAACUUCUAUGGACUAACCUAAGGUGCCCUCAAAUUCAUAUGUUGAAUUCCUAACACCCAAUGUGAUGGUACUUGGAGAUGAGGCCUUUGGGAGUUAAUUAGGGGCUAGGGUUUGAAUUUUCCCACCAAAACUCACGUUGAUAUUUAAUUGCCAUUGUAAUAGUAUUGGGAAGUGGAUCCAUUAAAAGGUGAAUAGCUCAUGAGAGCUCCUCCCUCAGGGGUGGAUUAAUGCUGUUAUCCUGGGAGUGAAAUAGUUAUCACAGGAAUGGAUUUCUGAUGAAAAGAUAACUUAGGCUUGCUUGCUAGGUGUUGCUUUUCUGCCAUGGAAUGAUCCUCACCAGAUACUGGUGCCUGCUCUUGGAUUUCCAAGCUUCCAGAAUCAUAAACCAAAUUAACUUCUUGUCUACAUAAAUUACCAAGUCUGUGAUAUUUUGUUCUAGCAGCAAAAAGUGGACUGAUGGAGACAUUAUGUUUAGAUGACCUUAUGAGGGGGGGCCCUUGGAACGGUAUUAGUGCCCUUGUAAGAAGAGACAACAGAGACCUUGCACUCCUCUCUCUCUUGCUCGCUCUCUCACUCUCGCUCUCUCUUGCUGUCUCACUCUCGCUCUGUCUCUCGGCUAUGUGAGCAAACAAGAACACUCUCCCCAAAACCUGACCAUGCUGGCACCCUGAUCUGAGACUUUGAGUCUCCAGAACUGUGAGAAAAUAAAUUUCUGUUUCUUAAGCCACCCAGUCUAUGGUACUUUGUUAUGGCAGCCCAAGCUGACUAAUAUAGAAUCUCACAAUCAUUUUCAAGUGCACAAGUGACAAUUAAUAGAACUGACCGCAGACUGGUUCAUAAAGCAAGCAUCAAAACUUUUCUACAGUUUAAAAUCAUAUAAAAUAUUUAAUUUGACUACAGUUGAGUUAAACUAAGCAAUCAAAUUCCUAAGUGUUUGGAUAUUAAGCAAUACAUUUUUAUAUAAUGCAUAAGUUAAAGAAUUACAAGGUAAAUAACAUUUCAUACUGGGUGAUAAUGAAAUAUGAUAUAAAAAAACUUGUGACAUACAACUAAAACCAUGAUUAAAGAAAAUGGUAUGUCCUUGAAUGUAUAUAUUAGAAAAAAAUAAAAGCUAAAAAUUAUUUAACUAAAUACCAUCUCAAAAAGUUAGCAAAUUGGCCAGGCACAGUGUAAUCCUAGCACUUUGGGAGGCUGAGGUGGGAGGAUUGCUUGGACUCAGGAGUUCAAGGUUGCAGUGAGUGAUGAUCAUGUCACAGCAUUCCAGUCUGGGCAAUAGAGCAAGAGUCUGUCCUCAUCACACACAAAAAAUUUAGCAAAUAAAGAACUUAUUGAAUGCAAAGAAAACAACAGUAAGAAAACACUGCACAGAAGAGCAGAAAUUAAUGAAAGAGAAAACAAACAGCAUAGAGGAAUUCACAAAUUUUAACAUUUUUCAGAUGUCUUUAUAAAUGACUAAUAUAAUUGAUAUUAAACAUAAUUGAUCUUGGCAAUGCUAAUCAAUAAAAAUAUAGAAGGCACAAAUUAACAAUAUCAGGAAUAAAAAAAGGGGAAUCACAGAUCCUAAAGACUUUAAAUAAGGAUAUAUAAAAGGAUACUGGGAACAAAAUUAUAUCAUAUUUAAAAAUGUGUAUAAAGUGUACAAAUUCCUAGAAAACAACCAUUAAUUCUUAAAAAUGACAUAAAUUACUUUUAAGGAAAUUGAGUCUGUAAUUAAAAUCCUCUUGAAAUAAAUUCCCUAGCCUAGAUAACUUCCCCAAUGAAUUCUUAUAAGUAUUUAAUGAAGAAAUAACAUCAGCCUUACACACAGUCUAUUAGGGAAUAAAAUGAGGGAAUACAUUCCAAAUUAUUUAUGAAGCUAAAACCUGUAAAACAUACAAGAAGAGAAAAUUACAUACCAGUCUCUCUUAUAAAUGUAGUUGCAAAAUUUUUCAUUAUUAGUAGGCAAAAUCCGAGACACAAGAAAGAAUAAAAUAACGUUCAAUUUGUGUUUAUUCCAGAAAUGCAUGAUUGAUUGAACAUUGAAAAAAUCAGUUUAAUUCAGCACAUGAAGAGCACAAAAGAAAGCAAGCAUAUGAUCAUCUUAAUAGAUGCAGAAAAAUUAUUUGGUGAAAUUAAAUUCUCAUUCAUCAUAAAACUAGCAAACUCAGCAAAUUAAAAACAGAAAAAAGUCUCCCAAGUCUGAUAAAGUGUAUCUACUCACACACACACACACACACACACACACACACACACACACAUACAUACCACCUCCCACACAACACCUACAAACCUACAGCAAACAUCUUACUUAAAGAUGAAGUAUUGGGAGCUUUUGUCUUGAGAAUGGUAACAAGACAAGGACAUCGGCUAACCUAGAGAUCCUAGUCAGGAUGAAAAGGCAAAAUAAAUGAAAUAUUAGUUGGUGCAAAAGUAAUUAAAAAUAAUGGCAAAACCCGCAAUUACUUUUGCACCAACCUAUAUGAUAAAUUGGUUGAAAAGGAAGAAAUAAUCUUGCCAUUAUUCAUGGAUAUAAAGCUGUCAAAAGAAUCUCCUGAUAAUGUAUUUAGAGAGUGAAUUUAGUAAGAUCACUGCAUACAAAGUAAUCACACAAAAAUCAGCUUUAUUUAUUAGCAGCAAAUGAUUAGAAAAUUAAAUCUAAAAAUAUGCCAUUUCAACAGAAUAAAAACAUUUUGUAUCUAAGAAUAAUUUUAAUAAAGGAAGUACAGCACCUCUACCUGGAAGAGUACAAAGUAUUAUUUAAAGAAAUCAAAGAAGAUAAAUAAGAGAUACAACAUGUUCAUAAAUUGGAAGACUCAAUAUCUUAAAUACGUCAGUUCUUCCCAAACUGAUUUAUGCAUUCAUUACAAUGCCAAACAAAAAUCACAGGAAGGUUUUUGUAUGUGUAUGUGCAUUGAGGUAUGAAAUUGAUGAGCCGAUUCUAAAAUUUAUACUAUUAAAUUUAUUCUGAAAACCACCAAGUUAAGCCAAGUCGAUCUUGUAAAAUAGCAAAGUUAUGUGACUUUCACUACCCGAUAUUCUGAAUCAAUAUGAAGCUACAUUGAUUGAGACUGUGGCAUUUGCACAAGAAUAGGCUAAUAGACUAAUGGACCAGUGUAAGGAAUCCAGAGCAAACACAUAGUAUGUGGGCACUUAUGACUCUGCAGAGAAAGGGGAAAGGAUACAUUUUUAAACUAAAUUGGGUUGAGUAAAGUAUAUAUCCCACGUGAAAAAAUAUGAAUCUUGCUCCUACCUCACCCUAUAUACAGAAACUAACUACAGGUGAAUGGUAAACCUAAAUGUAAGAGGUAAAAUAAUAAAGCAUAUAUAACAUAUUGGGAAAAUUUACUUAUGACCCUGAGAUAAGAGAAUAUUUCUUAGGAUAAAAGGAAAGCACUAAACAUAAAAAGAUUGACAAACUGGACUGUAUUAACUUAAAAAUGUUUAUAUAAAGGUACCUACCAUUAAGAAAGUGAAAGAGUAAUUCCCAAAGUGAGAGAAGCUAUUUGCAAUACAUGUUAUAAACCAAGGGCUUGUGUCCAGAGCAUAUAAAUAACUACUACAAAUAAAUCAGAAAAAAGUAAGAUGAUCCAGCAAAAAAAAAGGGGGUGGGCAAAAGACUUGAACCAGCACUUCACUAAAUAGAAUUAUCUAAAUAUAAAGCUGCUCUACCUCAAUAGCCAAAAUGGGAAUGCAAAUUAAAACUACAAUGCAAUACACUUGCACCCAAAUCAGAAUGGCUAAAAAUAAAAAGACUGACAAUAGCAAGUGUUGAUAAAGAUGUAGAGCAACUGGAACUGUCAUGCACUACUGGUGUGAAUAUAAAUUGGCACAGCAUUUUAGAAAACUAUUUUAUCAGUAUUUAUUAAAGCUGAACAUACACUUAUCUUUGACACAGCAAUCCCUUCCAAAAUAUAUUCUCAACAGAAAUAUGUUAUACUUCCACACAAAAAAUAUGCAAAAAAUGUUUGUAGUAGCAGUAUUUUGGAAACAAUCUAAAUGCUCUCAACUGUAGAAUGAAUGAAUACAUUGCAGUGUAUUCAUACAAUGGAAUACUCUACAGCAAAUGAGUUAAUGAAUUACUGCUGCAUGCAACAAACUUAGAUAAAUCUGACUACCAAUAUGUUGAAACACAAAAGCCAGGCACAAAAGAUUACAUAAUAUCUAACUUCAAAAAGCCAGGUGUGGUGGCACAUGCCUGUAGUCCUAGCUACUCAGGAAGCUGAGGUAGGGCGAUCAUUUGAGGCCAGGGCUUUGAGGCUACAGUGCACUAUGAUUACGGUGGCCACUGCACUCCAGCCUGCACCACAUAGUGAGACCCUAUAUUAUAUAUAAUACAUAUCUAUGUGUGUGUGUAUAUAUGUGUGUGUAUAUACAAACACACAUAUAUACAUGUACAUAUACACACAUGCAUAUAUACACAUAUUAAAAACAGAAAUAUGUAUACAUACAAGUAUGUGUGUAUAUAUAUAUAUAUAUGCAUGCAAAGAUAUACAUAUAUACAAUUUCAUUUUUAAUAAAUUUCUAUAAGAAGCCAAACUAGUCUGUGGUUUUUGAAGUUAUGACAGUGAUUACCUUUGAAGAGGAGAAAAGAGGUGUUUAGAGGGAGGUAGAAUAAGGACUUCUCAGGUACUGGUACUCAUUUCUUGAUCUGGGUGAUAGUUACAUAGGAAUGUUUACUUUUUGAAGAUUUACCAAGUAAUACAUUUGUGAUUGGGGUACCUCUCUGCAUGACUAUUAGACUUCAAUAAUUUGUUAAUAAAAGAAAAUGUUCCUUUAAUUAAGUAAAACGGGAGAUAUGUAUAUCUGGGAAAACCACUAUGUGGUUUGCAAAGGACAUAAGUUUGGGAAAUAUCGGACUUCUAGCAAGUUAUGCUCUGCAUAGCCCAUGUUUUUUUCUGCAUCUUUUUGGUGUCCAGUUAGGCUGGGGACAAAGAGAGCCUGUCCUGACUCUAGUUAUCUCCUGCUCCUCACAUGUUGCCCUUAGGGCCAUAUCACAGUUUAGAAAGCAUCUUGUCCAAACCCUCUAACUUCACAAGCAGGAGAAGUUUCAAAUAAUGUUACAUGUCUCCCAUCUCUAAAUCUAGCCUUCAUUCCAGUUGAUUUCCAAUAAAGCUUGGUGACUUUAGCGUAUAACCCCAUCCUGCUCCCACAAAAUACCUCCCACACUCCCUCUUGGAUGACCUCUAUCCUGAAAUGGGCUAAUAGAUGUGAGAGAACAUAGGAUGAUUUAAAAAAAAAAAAGAGGAAAAAAAAGGAAAACAACGGCUAUAGAACCAAACAAACUUGUGUUGAAUCUUAACAUUUUUAAGCCAGUUUCCAGCUGGAGAUCUUGGGCAAGAUCUUUAAUAGCAUGUAAUUGCUUCUCUGAGCCGAUGUUUCCUCAUCUGUAAAAUAAAUUGCUGUGAUGAUUAAAUAGGAUAAAAGUUGUGAGGCCCUUGGUAGUGUGCCUGCAAUGUGGGCACCACAAAGCUAUGAGCUCUGCAAUGUCUUAAUAUUUAAUUGCUUCAGCUGAAGGAUUAGGAGGGAAGAGGUGACCUCAAGGUAUAUUGUGUGUCUCAGGCACAGUGUAAUUAAUUAUUCACCACACACCAGGCAGAUGAUAUCAUCAUGUGAUGGGAAGGGCAAAGUUGACUUUCUUGAGAACAUCUUUAAUAUAUCCUUUAUGGAGCCUGUAGUUGAAAAAUGUUUGUUGAAUUAAGUUCAUGCAAAGGCAUUGUCUCCAGAAGUCCCCUGAUAAAAAGAUAUCAACUCAUACGGGUAGCUCAUUUGUGCUCAUUAACACAUAUCAGUUUAUCAGAUUGACUAGGGCAGGAAAGGAAGGUACAGGCUGUUGUAAAGAGGUGGUUAUCCUGAUUAGAGAUGCCUGUCUGGAUGAUGUCCCCCAAGAGCCAUAUGUGAGCAGGAGAGAGAGUUUUGCCUAACAGUGAAGAACACAAAUUCUGGAGUGCUACUUUGGGUUCAAAUCACUUUAGCAGCUAUACAAAUUUAGAGGAAUUACUGAACUCUUCUGUGACUCUGUUUACACAUCUAUAAAAUAAAUAUGACAAUGAUAAUACUAGUACCUGUUUUAUAAGGUUUUGUGAGUAUUGAAUGAAUUAGUAUGUUAAAGUACUUUGAAACAGCACCUGCCAUAAAAUGAGUGCUUCACGAAUUGCAGUUAUUACUAUGUUGAAGAACUAGGAUGGGUGAAGGGAAUGUCAGAGAGGAGGGUAUAGGGACCGUUCUAAGCAAUAUCUAUGAGAAUUGUGUUUUCUUCUAUUUCUGGUUCCUUACUUAAAUAGUGCUCUUGAAGAAAAUUGUUCAAAAUUGUGUUAUUGUUUAGCCCAAAUCCGUUGCACCAUUGAUAACUGUUUCAUCUGAUAUGCCAUUCAGGGUUUAGAAAAGUAAUCCAGUAAAAUGGAAAGAGCCCAGGACUAGGGUCAGAAGACAGAGGUUUUAAAAUUGUCUCCAUCAUGGAUACAACAUGUAAUACUCAUUAAGCCACUUUCCUUGUGUGAGAUUCAUUUUUUUAUCAGCAAGAUGAAGGUGCUAUCUAGAUAAUCUCUGAAUUCCUUCAGGUUCUAAAAUCUUACAGUCCUUUUUCAUUUGCCAG
rnacentral:lncRNA from 1 species